rnacentral:rRNA from 1 species
UUGGAGGGCAAGUCUGGUGCCAGCAGCCGCGGUAAUUCCAGCUCCAAUAGCGUAUAUUAAAGUUGUUGCAGUUAAAAGGCUCGUAGUUGAAUUUCGGGAUUGACACAUCGGUCGUGCCUUAAGGGGUAUGAACUGGUGUAGUCAAUUUCUCACCUUCUGGAGAACCGCAAUGCCCUUAAUUGGGUGUUGCGGGGAACCAGGACCUUUACUUUGAAAAAAUUAGAGUGUUUAAAGCAGGCAUUUUGCUUGAAUACAUUAGCAUGGAAUAAUAAAAUAGGACGGCAUGGUUCUAUUUUGUUGGUUUCUAGGAUCACCGUAAUGAUUAAUAGGGAUAGUUGGGGGCAUUAGUAUUCAAUUGUCAGAGGUGAAAUUCUUGGAUUUAUUGAAGACUAACUACUGCGGAAGCAUUUGCCAAGGAUGUUUUCAUUAAUCAAGAACGAAAGUUAGGGGACCGAAGACGAUCAGAUACCGUCGUAGUCUUAACCAUAAACUAUGCCGACUAGGAAUCAGGCGAUGUUAAUUUUUUAAUGACUCAUUCGGCGCCUUACGGGAAAC